GACGUAGGGCGCGAGCGUUGUCCGGAUUUAUUGGGCGUAAAGGGCUCGUAGGCGGCUCGUCGCGUCUGCCGUGAAAGACCAUGGCUUAACUGUGGUUUUGCGGUGGAUACGGGCGGGCUUGAGGCCAGUAGGGGAGAUCGGAAUUCUACGUGUAGCGGUGAAAUGCGCAGAUAUGUGGAGGAACACCGGUGGCGAAGGCGGAUCUCUGGACUGGUGCUGACGCUGAGGAGCGAAAGCAUGGGGAGCGAACAGG
rnacentral:rRNA from 1 species